GACGUGGCGGGGUCUAUACUGCAAGUCGAGCGAACAGAGAAGGAGCUUGCUCCUUUGACGUUAGCGGCGGACGGGUGAGUAACACGUGGGCAACCUACCUUAUAGUUUGGGAUAACUCCGGGAAACCGGGGCUAAUACCGAAUAAUCUGUUCCACCUCAUGGUGGAACACUGAAAGACGGUUUCGGCUGUCGCUAUAAGAUGGGCCCGCGGCGCAUUAGCUAGUUGGUGAGGUAACGGCUCACCAAGGCGACGAUGCGUAGCCGACCUGAGAGGGUGAUCGGCCACACUGGGACUGAGACACGGCCCAGACUCCUACGGGAGGCAGCAGUAGGGAAUCUUCCACAAUGGGCGAAAGCCUGAUGGAGCAACGCCGCGUGAGUGAAGAAGGUUUUCGGAUCGUAAAACUCUGUUGUAAGGGAAGAACAAGUACAGUAGUAACUGGCUGUACCUUGACGGUACCUUAUUAGAAAGCCACGGCUAACUACGUGCCAGCAGCCGCGGUAAUACGUAGGUGGCAAGCGUUGUCCGGAAUUAUUGGGCGUAAAGCGCGCGCAGGCGGUCCUUUAAGUCUGAUGUGAAAGCCCACGGCUCAACCGUGGAGGGUCAUUGGAAACUGGGGGACUUGAGUGCAGAAGAGGAAAGUGGAAUUCCAAGUGUAGCGGUGAAAUGCGUAGAGAUUUGGAGGAACACCAGUGGCGAAAGCGACUUUCUGGUCUGUAACUGACGCUGAGCGCGAAAGCGUGGGGAGCAACAGAUUAGAUACCCUGGUAGUCCACGCCGUAACGAUGAGUGCUAGUGUUAGGGGGUUUCGGCCCCUAUUGCUGCAGCUACGCAAUAGCACUCCGCCUGGGGAGUACCGGUCGCAGACUGA
rnacentral:rRNA from 1 species